UACGUAGGGUGCAAGCGUUGUCCGGAAUUAUUGGGCGUAAAGAGCUCGUAGGCGGUUUGUCGCGUCUGCUGUGAAAACUCGGGGCUCAACUCCGAGCUUGCAGUGGGUACGGGCAGACUAGAGUGCGGUAGGGGAGACUGGAAUUCCUGGUGUAGCGGUGAAAUGCGUAGAUAUCUGGAGGAAUACCGGUGGCGAAGGCGGUUCUCUGGGCCUGACCUGACGCUGAGGAGCGAAAGCGUGGGGAGCGAACAGG
rnacentral:rRNA from 1 species